UUCAAGCUACAAAGAGCCAACGGCGGAUGCCUUGGCAUCGACUACCGAAGAAGGACGUGAGUGGCUGCGAAAAGCCUCGGGGAGCUGCCGACUAAGCUUUGAUCCGGGGAUGUCCGAAUGGGGAAACCCACUAUUCCAAAGGAGUAGUACUCCGCUCUGAACACAUAGGAGCGGUAGAGGGAACCAGGUGAACUGAAACAUCUAAGUAACCUGUAGGAAAGGAAAGCAAAUGCGACUCCCUAAGUAGCGGCGAGCGAACAGGGAAUAGCCUAAACCGAAUUGGUGUAAUAGCCUGACGGCGUUGCCAAUUCGGGGUCGUGGGACCAGAUGGACCGAGCGUCAGAUCGGUCACAGAGUUACAAAUCUGCUCGUUAGACGAAGCUUCUGGAAAGAAGCGCCACAGAAGGUAAUAGCCCUGUAGACGAAAACGUUCAGACUCUGAUCUGUGUUCCCGAGUAUCACCAUUGCCGUGUAAUUUGGUGUGAAUCUGCGAGGCCCACCUCGUAAGGCUAAGUAUAAGUCGAUGACCGAUAGCGAACUAGUACCGUGAGGGAAAGGUGAAAAGUACCCCGGGAGGGGAGUGAAAUAGUACCUGAAACCGUUGGUUUACAAUCAGUCAGAGCGUCGUCUAGGACUUCGGUUCUAGGCCGCGAUGGCGUGCCUUUUGAAGAAUGAGCCUGCGAGUUAUGGUGUGUGGCAAGGUUAACCCGUGAGGGGAAGCCGAAGCGAAAGCGAGUCUGAAUAGGGCGUCCAGUCGCAUGCUGUAGACCCGAAGCCGAGUGAUCUAUCCAUGGGCAGUGUGAAGCGGGGGUAAGACCCCGUGGAGGCGCGAACCGACCUAGGUUGAAAACUGGGCGGAUGACCUGUGGAUAGGGGUGAAAGGCCAAGCAAACUCGGUGAUAGCUGGUUCUCCGCGAAAUGCAUUUAGGUGCAGCGUCGCAUGUUCAGCCAUGGGGGUAGAGCACUGGAUGGGUUAGGGGGCCUACAAGCUUACCAACCCCAACCAAACUCCGAAUACCAUGACUCUAAAGUGCGGCAGUGAGACCCCGGGGGAUGAGCUUCGGGGUCGAAAGGGAAACAGCCCAGACCGCCGACUAAGGCCCCAAAUUCUGGACUAAGUGGUAAACGAAGUGAGAUUGCAAAAACAGCCAGGAGGUUGGCUUAGAAGCAGCCAUCCUUGAAAGAGUGCGUAACAGCUCACUGGUCGAGUGAUCUUGCGCGGACAAUGUAACGGGGCUCAAGUCCAGAGCCGAAGUCGCGGGUUUUCACAAUAGUGAAAGCGGUAGCGGAGCGUCGAUCUUGCUGUGAAGCGCCGGUGGAAACCGUCGUGGAGCGUGGUCGAGUGAGAAUGCAGGUAUGAGUAGCGAGAGAGGGGUGAGAAACCCCUCCGCCGAAAAUCCAAGGGUUCCUGGGGAAGGCUAAUCCUCCCAGGGUGAGUCGGGAGCUAAGACGAGGCCGAGAGGCGUAGUCGAUGCACAACCGGUUGAUAUUCCGGUACCACUGUGAGCGCGACCAGGCUUAACCAUUGUUGCUAAGGGGAUGCUAGGAGCCCGUUAAACGGCACCUAGAGGAACCGACCCACAAUGGAGCGGCCAGCAAUGCGGGGACGCAGGAAGGUAGAUGAACCCACCCGAUGGUAGAGGUGGGGUAAGUAUGUAGGGCGGGUCCCAGGAAAAUCCGGUACCCAUUAAGCCUGAGAUACGACGCCGACUCGAUUAAGAGGAAGUCAUUGAUCCUAUGCUGCCAAGAAAAGCCGCUAGCGAGCUCUCACGGUGCCCGUACCCCAAACCAACACAGGUGGAUAGGUAGAGAAUACCAAGGCGAUUGGGAGAACUGUGGUUAAGGAACUCGGCAAAUUACAUCCGUAACUUCGGGAGAAGGAUGACCUCAUCAGAGUGAUGGAACGGCUUGCCGCUUCCUGAGCUCGAAGAGGUGUCACAAACCAGAGGGAAGCGACUGUUUACUAAAAACACAGCAGCGUGCUAAGCCGUAAGGCGCUGUAUACGCUGUGACGCCUGCCCGGUGCCGGAAGGUUACGGGGACGGGUUAGCCCUUUUGGGCGAAGCUCUGAACCUAAGCCCCGGUAAACGGCGGCCGUAACUAUAACGGUCCUAAGGUAGCGAAAUUCCUUGUCGGGUAAGUUCCGACCUGCACGAAUGGCGUAACGACUUCCCUACUGUCUCAACCACAGACCCAGCGAAAUUGAAGUACGAGUAAAGAUGCUCGUUAGCUACAGAAGGACGGAAAGACCCCGUGGACCUUUACUACAACUUGGUAUUGAUGUUUGACCUUCACUGUGCAGGAUAGGUGGGAGACUAUGAAACGCAUGCGCCAGUGUGCGUGGAGUCAUCCUUGAAAUACCACCCUGUGUAUGUUGAACAUCUAACCUCGACCCGUUAUCCGGGUUAGGAACAGUGCCAGGCGGGUAGUUUGACUGGGGCGGUCGCCUCCUAAAGAGUAACGGAGGCGCCCAAAGGUUCCCUCAGCCUGGUUGGCAAUCAGGCAUCGAGUGCAAUGGCAGAAGGGAGCUUGACUGCGAGACUUACAAGUCGAGCAGGGUCGAAAGACGGGCAUAGUGAUCCGGCGGUCGCGUGUGGAAGCGCCGUCGCUCAACGGAUAAAAGGUACCCCGGGGAUAACAGGCUUAUCUCCCCCAAGAGUUCAUAUCGACGGGGAGGUUUGGCACCUCGAUGUCGGCUCAUCGCAUCCUGGGGCUGAAGCAGGUCCCAAGGGUUGGGCUGUUCGCCCAUUAAAGCGGUACGCGAGCUGGGUUUAGAACGUCGUGAGACAGUUCGGUCCCUAUCCUCUGUAGCCGAAGGUAAUUUGAGGAGAUCUGUCCCUAGUACGAGAGGACCGGGAUGGACGUAGCUCUCGUGUGCCAGUUGUUCCGCCAGGAGCAUGGCUGGUUAGCGACCUACGGAAUGGAUAACCGCUGAAAGCAUCUAAGUGGGAAGCCAGCUCCAAGAUGAGAUUACCCACCGGGUUAACCGGGUAAGGCCCGUGGCAGACCACCACGUUGAUAGGCCGGAAGUGUAAGCGCAGCAAUGCGUUCAGCUGACCGGUACUAAUCGGCCGAGGGCUUGAUAACAA
rnacentral:rRNA from 1 species